CACUCUAGAGAGACUGCCAGGGAUAACCUGGAGGAAGGUGGGGAUGACGUCAAAUCAUCAUGCCCCUUAUGCUUAGGGCUACACACGUUCUACAAUGGGUAGUACAGAGGGUUGCCAAGCCGUAAGGCGGAGCUAAUCCCUUAAAGCUACUCUAAGAUCGGAUUGUAGGCUGUAACUCGCCUACAUGAAGCUGGAGUUACUAGCAAACGCAGAUCAGAAUGCUGCGGUGAAUGCGAUCACGGGUCUUGUACACCCCGCCCGUCACACCACGGGAGUUGGAGACGCCCGAAGCCGAUUAUCUAACCUUUUGGAAGAAGUCGUCGAAGGUGGAAUCAAUAACUGGGGUGAAGUCGUAACAAGGUAGCCGUAUCGGAAGGUGCG
rnacentral:rRNA from 1 species